CAUUCCCAGUCAAAAAAAACAAUUGAAACCAUUUGGAAAUAUCAAUGGGUCCAACUGGAAACGGCAAUUUCCAAUUGGGCCAAGUGUUAUCACCAACAGGACCAUUUGGACCAGUUAGAACGGCCAAUUGGUUCAUAUGGAAACCCUCACUUCCAAUUGGGCCAGAUGGAGUCUCCAGCAGGACCAUUUGGGUAAAUCUGGAUUGCCACAUGGUCCAAAUGGAGUUUUCAAAACCAUUUGGACAAAAUUUAAGUGAGAAAAUGUUACUGUCUUUUGUGUACAAAAUUUGCAGAUUUCUCUUUCCCUUUUGAAAUUUCUCUUUUGAGAUUUGGACGUGAGAUUCGAGAUUGGAUUCGUGAGAUUGGAAGACACUAUUUGGCAUUUGGAGGGCAAGUAAAUGUGGAACGACCGCAAAAAAAAAAGUGGUCGGUCUAUUGAUCAUGUUACAGUAAAAAAAAAAAAAAAAAAAACUUGCACUGUUUUAUGUGUUUCUUAAACACACGACUCAAACAACUUUUAGGCAUAAAACAAUUUGUAAUUUAGCAAUAAUGUUUAAAUUUUUUAUUUCACAUCUAUGAGAUAAUUCUUCUUUGGAAUUAAAUUUUCUCUCAGCGUCAUUUUUCCUUGGCGACCGAACGGGAGAGCAUAAUCGACAUCAACAUUAGCAACAUGUGCUCGUGUGUGCUGAUCGCCUUGCGUGCUUCGUGCGACCGUCUGACAGCACUAUGAUCACCCACGCGUACGUGCGGUACGAAAUCGACAAACAUUUAGCAAUUGUGCCCGUGACAGACAUAAAGAACUUCAAGCCUGACGACGACUUUUCGGCGGCUUUUUAUAUGGUCAAGUGGACGGACGCGGCCGGCACGUGUGCCCACUACCGUGCCAGAAUUUUGCAGAUCGGAGGUUGUGCCGCGACUAGACCGGAAAGGUGCCAUGAACAGUAUCCAGCAUUGCAUUUUCCUUCGUAAUAAAGCUUUAAAUCCUACUUUUCA